AUUGAACGCUGGCGGCAGGCUUAACACAUGCAAGUCGAGCGGGGUGAUGGUGCUUGCACUAUCACUUAGCGGCGGACGGGUGAGUACUGCUUAGGAAUCUGCCUAUUAGUGGGGGACAACAUCUCGAAAGGUAUGCCAAUACCGCAUACGUCCUACGGGAGAAAGCAUGGGAUCACUUGUGACCUUGCGCUAAUAGAUGAGCCUAAGUCGGAUUAGCUAGUUGGUGGGGUAAAGGCCUACCAAGGCGACGAUCUGUAGCGGGUCUGAGAGGAUGAUCCGCCACACUGGGACUGAGACACGGCCCAGACUCCUACGGGAGGCAGCAGUGGGGAAUAUUGGACAAUGGGGGGAACCCUGAUCCAGCCAUGCCGCGUGUGUGAAGAAGGCCUUAUGGUUGUAAAGCACUUUAAGCGAGGAGGAGGCUCUUUUGGUUAAUACCCAAGAUGAGUGGACGUUACUCGCAGAAUAAGCACCGGCUAACUCUGUGCCAGCAGCCGCCGUAA
rnacentral:rRNA from 1 species